rnacentral:rRNA from 1 species
GAGACAGGUGGUGCAUGGUUGUCGUCAGCCCGUGUCGUGAGAUGUUGGGUUAAGUCCCGCAACGAGCGCAACCCUUGUGUUUAGUUGCAAACAGGUCAAGCUGUGCACUCUAGACAGACUGCCGUGGACAACACGGAGGAGGGUGGGGGAUGACGUCAAAUCAUCAUGCCCCUUAUGAUCUGGGCUACACACGUGCUACAAUGGCCGGUACAACGGGCAGCGAAGGAGCGAUCCGGAGCGAAUCCUAAAAAGCCGGUCCCAGUUCGGAUUGCAGGCUGAAACUCGCCUACAUGAAGUUGGAGUUGCUAGUAAUCGCGAAUCAGAAUGUCGCGGUGAAUGCGUUCCCGGGUCUU